rnacentral:rRNA from 1 species
CGAACGCUGGCGGCGUGCUUUACACAUGCAAGUCGAGCGAUGAGAUCCCUUCGGGGAAGGAUUAGCGGCGAACGGGUGAGGAACACGUGAGGAAUCUGCCUUCAACACUGGGAUAACUCCGGGAAACCGGGGCUAAUACCGAAUACUCCGUCUCGGCGGCAUCGCUGGGCCGGGAAAAAAAUUUUGAUGAAAGAUGGUCUCGCGGCCUAUCAGCUAGUUGGUGAGGUAAUGGCUCACCAAGGCGACGACGGGUAGCCGGCCUGAGAGGGCGACCGGCCACACUGGGACUGAGACACGGCCCAGACUCCUACGGGAGGCAGCAGUGGGGAAUAUUGGGCAAUGGGCGCAAGCCUGACCCAGCGACGCCGCGUGAGGGAUGAAGGCCUUCGGGUUGUAACCUCUUUCAGUAGGAAGAAGCGAAAGUGACGGUACCUAAACGAAGAAGCACCGGCUAACUAUGUGCCAGGAG